CUUUGUAUGAUGAUUGAUACAGUGACUUUCGUUCUUCUGAGUUUACUGAAGCCAUAUUCUGUUCUGAAAAAU
ensembl:snoRNA small nucleolar RNA SNORD59